rnacentral:tRNA from 4 species
GGGGACGUAGCUCAGCUGGGAGAGCGUUCGGUUCGCAUCCGAGAGGUCGAGAGUUCAAUCCUCUUCGUCUCCACCA